AAACUGUACUCCACUAUCUGCAUUGUCCUUCUGAGUGAGUUUGUUUCCCGGAACACAUGGCUACAACAUUUGGUGCAUUGGCUGGGAAACUCCUCACUUUGAGGAGACAAGUCCCAUUUGGGACUACUCCAAGGCCUUGCAGCUCGAAUCUUCUAGACGGGGGAAGGCGCCUCGCCCUUCCGGAAGCAUUCUGCUUCUCAACGCCCUGACCUUUCAUGUUAGCAGGUGGUGGACAGCAGCAGGGGAACUGAGUGCUCAGCCCACCAAGGCAGAACGGACUUUAAAAGUUAAGGGAGAAACAGUCUUGGAUCACGUGGUGUUCUGGUUUGGCCGUGCUGACCGGCCGGUGAAGACACGCCGAUCCCCCUUCUCCCUCUGGGAUCUGACAGGUAGGGCUCUUCUCACCCCAAUUAAGAAGGAGGCAGAAUGGCAAUUUAAGUGUCAUUGAGUGGAAAUAUCAGAAGUACAUAGGGUACUGAGAACUUCGUAGACAGAAAGAAAAGGAAAAGUAGAAGAAGAUCUGAGAAGAGCCUUGAAAAUGAAGAUGAAGUUAAAAUGAGGCUCUAAGAGUGGGCCUUAAUCCAAUGUCACUGGUGACUGUGUGAGAAGAAGAAAUUUGGACAUACAAAGGGACACCAGAAGUAUCUGCUGCAAGAAAAGACCACAUGAAGACACCAUGAAAAGACAGGCAUCUGCAGCCAUUAGGAAAGGCUUCAGAAGAAACCAAACCAAUUGAUGGUUCAGUCGCUCAGUCGUGUCCGACUCUCUGCAACCCCAUGGACUGCAGCACGCCAGGGCUUCCCUGUCCAUCACCAACUCCCGGAGCUUGCUCAAACUCAUGUCCAUCGAGUUGGUGAUGCCAUCCAACCAUCUCAUCCUCAACCAAUUGACACCUUGACCUUAAACUUCCCACCGCUGCAACUGUGAGAAAGUAAAUUCUGUUUUUUAAGCCAUUAGUCUGUGGUAUUUGUUAUGGCAGUUCUAGCAAGCUAAUGUAGCCUCUUGUAGCAAGUACCGGGGACUUCCCUGGUGGUCCAGCAGCUAAGACUCUGCUCUCAAUGCAGGGGGACUGGGUUCAACCCCUGGUUGGGGAACUGGAUCCUGCAUGCUGCAACUAACGGUUCGUAUGCCACAACUAAGAGUUUGUAUUCCACAACUAAAGAUCCUGAAUGUUGCAAUGAAGAUCAAAGAUCCUAGGUGCUGCAACUAAGACCCAGUGCAGCCAAAUUAAAAAAAGAAAAGUACUGAUACUUUAAUGCCCAAAUAUGUUCAAGUCAGAGCAAAUGUAUGAAAUAGUUCUGCAGUAUGCUGACUAAAGUACAGUUGGCCCUUGAACAACACCGGGUUUAGGAGAACUGACCCUCUGUGUAGCUGAAAGUCCAAAUAUAAUUUAUAGUUGGUCCUUCAUAUCUGUGGUGCCACACCUCAGAUCUUGUAAUACUAUUGUUAUUUACUAUUGAUAAAAAAUUCACCCAUAAGUGUACUAGUACAGUUCAAACCCAUGUUGUUCAAGGGUCAACUCUAGAUAAGAAUGGUCAUGGGCCAGAGAUCAGCUAAGGGGUUUGAGCUAUUCUGUUCCCCACAGCAACUGUAAGGGUUGAAGUUAUCAAUAUGUCAUGCACAUCUGUAACUCAUUUGUGAUACUUCAUCUGGGAAGCUCUUUUCCAAAGGAUACAUUUUAGGAAGAAGUAAAAUGAUCUCAUAAGGAAUGUCUUAUGAUCUCAUAAGGAAUUCACAGGAGAAAUUUCUUUCUAUAAUAUAUAUACUCUGAGCCCCAGGCAGAGUUUCAGAAUGGCUAUCUAAAAAAAAAAAGUAUUAAACAGAAGGACGCUACCUGAUGACUUCUCACGGAGCCAAGCUCCAACUUCUCUUACCACAGUUACCUUCCAGCUAUACUUUUUCUGCUUCUGCAUUUGGAUUCCAGUGAGUCGUGAGGGCAGAUCUGUGGGUAUAGCCACAUUCUCUCCUUGGGUUUCUCUCUGAAAAUACAAAGAUUUUUAUCUAAUGUUUGCUCCUAGCUUUAUAAUUCUCUUUUUAUAUUUUAUUUAUUGUCACUAUGUUUCGGACAGAGAUAAUGUGUUGAGAGUGAACAAAUGGAGACACCUUAAUCAGAAACCCAACAUAGCCAUUAUU
ensembl:lncRNA